rnacentral:lncRNA from 1 species
CGCUCAGCACUGAUACACUCAUCUAUCCUAAAUUGGUGAAGGAGUUCUACAAAAAUGGAGUGUACGAAAACAACACCAUCACCACACGAGUUAGAGGAGUUGAAAUAAAGCUAGGGGAAGAAGAUGUCAAUCUGGCCCUAGGUUUCAAGAAUGUGGGACAUCCAUUUCUAGAUAGCAUAAGAUUUCAAGAGGGACUGAAGAAGAUGCAUC